UACAGAGGUGGCAAGCGUUGUUCGGAAUUACUGGGCGUAAAGGGCGCGUAGGCGGCCAUCUAAGUCAGACGUGAAAUCCCCCGGCUUAACCUGGGAACUGCGUCUGAUACUGGACGGCUCGAGUAUGGGAGAGGGAUGUAGAAUUCCAGGUGUAGCGGUGAAAUGCGUAGAUAUGCGGAGGAACACCGAUGGCGAAGGCAAUCCCCUGGGCCUGCACUGACGCUCAUGCACGAAAGCGUGGGGAGCAAACAGG
rnacentral:rRNA from 1 species